CGGCAAACUCCGUGCCAGCAGCCGCGGUAAUACGGAGGGGGCAAGCGUUGUUCGGAAUUAUUGGGCGUAAAGGGCAUGUAGGCGGUUCGGUAAGUUAAAGGUGAAAUGCCAGGGCUUAACCCUGGAGCUGCUUUUAAUACUGCCAGACUAGAGUCCGGGAGAGGAUAGCGGAAUUCCUAGUGUAGAGGUGAAAUUCGUAGAUAUUAGGAGGAACACCAGUGGCGAAGGCGGCUAUCUGGUCCGGUACUGACGCCGAGGUGCGAAGGCGUGGGGAGCAAACAGGAUUAGAUACCCUGGUAGUCCAC
rnacentral:rRNA from 1 species